GCCGCGGGGCCGCCUCCGCCACGCGGGCCGCGAUGUCGGCCGGGCCCGGGCGCGACGACGCGGGGGCCGGGGGCGCGCGGCGGCCGCGGGAGACGGCGGAGCAGGAGCUGCAGCGGCGCCGGGAGCAGAAGCGGCGGCGGCACGACGCGCAGCAGCUGCAGCAGCUCAAGCACCUGGAGUCCUUCUAUGAAAAACCUCCUCCUGGGCUUAUCAAGGAAGAUGAGACGAAGCCAGAAGACUGUAUACCAGAUGUACCAGGCAAUGAACAUGCCAGGGAAUUUCUGGCUCACGCUCCAACGAAAGGACUUUGGAUGCCACUGGGGAAAGAAGUCAAAGUUAUGCAGUGUUGGCGUUGUAAACGGUAUGGUCACCGAACAGGCGACAAAGAAUGUCCUUUUUUUAUCAAAGGCAACCAAAAGUUAGAGCAGUUCAGAGUAGCACAUGAAGAUCCCAUGUAUGACAUCAUCCGAGAGAACAAGAGACACGAAAAGGAUGUAAGGAUACAGCAGUUGAAACAGUUACUGGAGGACUCUACCUCCGAGGAAGAUGGGAGCAGCUCCAGUUCCUCAGCAUGCAAAGAGAAACACAAGAAAAAGAAGAAGAAAGAAAAACAUAAGAAAAGGAAGAAAGACAAGAAGAAGAAGAAGAAACGAAAGCAUAAGUCUUCCAAGUCGAAUGAGAGUUCAGACUCGGAUUGAUGAGGACUUGACUGGUUCAGCAUUGUCUCCCCACAGAUCAGACACUGUGGCCAAAGACCAGAGGCCACGGCGGAGGCGGGGAGGACGAGGAGGGAGCUGCCAGAGAUCAGGGGAUUCGACAUCACCCGUGUGAAUCCUCACCUGCCUUCCAGCAAAGAUGUGACCCCAGGAGGACCCAGUACUCUCCAGUCCUAUAUAGAAAAGGAAGAGAAGUCACCAGACCUCCUUUUACCAAGGGAUCUUUCUUGAAGAGAGUCACAGUACCCAAGGUCAUGCCUCCUUUCUAGGGGCAUCCUGCAUCAGUGACUGGUCAGUGCAGAGGUGUAAGUAUGGCUUCUUACUCUUGUUGAGAUAGCUCUGCAGCAUCAUUGCAGCUCAGGAGCUCCCAGUGCGAUUGGGCAAGGUCUUUGUUGUUACUGCAUCACAUCCAUAUUUCUUCUCUAUGCAUAAUCAUGCUUUCUUUGCCCCUUCAGAGAGUUUGUUCCCCAUAGCACUCCCCACUAAAUAUCCUGCACACAAAUCUUCAUGUCAGAGUUUAACCCUAAGGAAUUCAGUGUGUCAUGGGGUCCAAUAACCACUUGGAAAAAUGAAAGGGAAGGUGUUGUCAGGAUGUACCCUUCAUUUUGGACUUCGUUUACCAGAUUUACUCUUGACUUCUCAUCUAACCUCUAGAAUAAAGGGCUGUGAUAGGAUGGGGAAAACUGAUUCCUACACACUGAUGGGAAAUGACAGCAGAGCAAAUGAAACUUUGAGAAGACUAAAGACAGAGCAGACUUCAGAGCAAGGAAAGGGAUCAGGGAUAAAAGUGGCAUUGCAUGAAACCUCAAUUCUUCACUGAAACGUAACAAUCCCUAAAGUGUAUGCCCUUAACAAAGGGUGAAACUAUGUGAGGCAAAAAGUGAUUGAACUGCAAGGAGAAAUGGAAUGACCCACUAUUACUGUUGGGAGACUUUAACACUCCUCUAUCAGAACAGGACAGAUACAGUGGGUAAAAAAAAUGAAUAAGUAUGGUUGAACUAAACAGCACCCUUAACCAAAUGGAAGUAACGGACAUCCACAGACUACUUCAUCAAACAGAAUACACAUAUACCCACAUGGAACAUGUGCCAAGAUAUCUGUACGAUGAGCCAGGAAACACCUUUAGAAAUUAAAAUGUAUAUUAAUCAUACAGCGUCUACUCUUAGCCUACAACAGAAUAUAGCUGUAAAAUCCCGAAAUACUUUUGGAUUAAAUACACUACUAAAGUAACACUGAGUCAAUACAGAAAUCUCAGAAGAAAUUUAAAAAUAUUUUGAACUAAAUGAAAUAGAAUCUCUCAAAAUGUGUUGGAUGGCAUGGAAGUGGUGCUUAGAGAAAAAUUCACAAAACUAAAAAGAUCUGAAAAUCCAUCAUCUAGCCUCUAACUUAGGAAACUAAAAAAUGAAGUGCAAAUUAAAUCCAAGCAUAAGAAAAUUUAAAGCAUACUUAGUGAAAUCGACAACAGAAAAUCAAUAGAAAACAAAACAAAAGCUGGUUCACUGAAAAGAUCAGUAACAUUUAUAAGCCUCCAGCCAGCUUAUGGAGUAAAAAAAGGAAGACACAAAUGACUAACAUUAGAAAUAAAAGAGGGUACAUCACUAUAAAUCUUGUGGACAGUAAAAAGAUGGAAAGAAUACUAUGAACUCUUAUCACAGCUUUCAAAACCUACAAAAAAUGGACCAAUUCCUUGGGAGAUAAACUAGACUCACAGAAGUAGAAAUGGACAUCUUUACGGAUCUUUUUAUAUUAAAGGAAGUGAAUCAAUUAACUGAUAACCUUCCAGAACAGAAAGCACCAGGCCCAGAAAGGUUCACUGGUGACGUCUACCAAACACUUAAGAAAUUACAAAUAAGGGCAGCCCGGGUGGCUCAGUGGUUCAGUGCCGCCUUCAGUCCAGGGCUGCAUGGAGUCUGCUCUCUCUGCCUCUCUCUCUCUGUGUGUCUCUUAUGAAUAAAUAAAUAAAAUCUAAAAAAAAAAAAAAUCCUAAAUUACAAAUAGAUCAAUGUAGAAUAGGGAGCUCACACACAGACCCAUAUAAAUAUAAUCAACCAAUGUUUGACAAAGGAGCAAGGACGAUACAAUGGCGCAAAGAUUGCUGUCUUUUCAACAAAUUGUCUUGGAACAACCAGACAUACAUGUACAAAAAGUGAUCCUACACACAAACUUUACAACAAACACCCUUCACAAAACUUAACUCAAAAUGGAGCACACACCUCUAAGUAAAAUACAGAAACUCUAAGACCUAAAGGGUAACACAAGAGAAAACUUAGGUGCGCUUGGGUUUGGUGAUUACUUAGACACAAAACCAGUGGCAUACGUGAUGUGAUCCAUGCAAGAAUGAACUGAUAAGCUAAACUUCAUUAAAAUGUAAAACUCAACAAAAGAUACUGUCAAGUGAAUAAAAAGUCACAUAUUGGGAGAAAAUAUUUAUAAAUACAUACCUGAUAAAGGACUGUUACCCAAAAUAUACAAAAAACACUUAAAACAUUAAGAAAAUAACCUGAUUUAAAAAGAGACUACAGGGAUCCCUGGGUGGCGCAGCGGUUUAGCGCCUGCCUUUGGCCCAGGGCGCGAUCCUGGAGACCCGGGAUCGAAUCCCACGUCGGGCUCCCGGUGCAUGGAGCCUGCUUCUCCCUCUGCCUAUGUCUCUGCCUCCCUCUCUCUCUUUCUCUCUCUCUCUCUCUCUCUCUGUGACUAUCGUAAAUAAAUAAAUAAAUUAAUUAAUUAAUUAAAAAGAGACUACAGACCUUAACAUUUAUCUCAAAGAAAAUACAAAGACAAAUCUUACCAAGUAAACAUGAAAACAUGCUUCACAUCAUGUCAUCAGGAAAAUGGAAAUUAAAGUAAUGAGAUACUAUAGGAGUACUAGAAUGGCUGAAAUCCUGAACACUAACAACACUCAAUGCUGGCGAGGAUGUGCAGCAAUAGGAACUCUGAUUACUAGUGGAAAUGCAAGAUGGUACAAAUGCAAAAUGAUAUAGUGUGAAAGGAAGAAAGUUUGGCACUUUCUUAACAAAACUAAACAUAUUCGUCCAGAACUUGGGAGAAACCAAGAUAUCCUUUAGUAGAUGAGUGGAUAUAUAAACAUUAUUCAGACAAUGGAAUAUUAUUUAACAGUAAAAAAACAAGAUAUCGAGAAACAAAAAAAAUACAAGGAAACUCAAAAUGCGUAUUACUAUGCAGAAGAAGCAAAUCUGAAAAGAAGCAUACUAUAGGAUUCCAAUGAUACAACUUUCUGGAACAGGCAAAGUUACAGAACCAGUAAAAGAUAGAUGGUUGCCAAGGGUUAGAGAGAAUGGAGGCAUGAAUCGGUAAAGGACUUCUAGGGCAGUGAAAUUAUUCAAUACAAUAUUAUAAUGGUGGGUAGGUAUCUUUCAUGAUAUAUUUAUCCAAAACCACAGAACAUACAGCUCUAAGAGCACACCCUAAUGUAAACUUUGGGUGAAACGUACCACUGCGGGUUCACUGAUUGUAACAAAUAUACCACUCUGGUGAAGGAUGUUGAUAAUGGGAGAGGCAUGCUGGAGGCAUAUGGGAAAUCUUUCUGCCUUCUGCUCCCUUUUGUUGUGAACCUAAAGUUGCUCUAAAAAAUAAAGCCUACUAAAUACAAGUAAAAAUCCUUGAAUAUGCAUAGGAUAUAUAUCCAGAAAGAUACCCAAAUCACUAGCCGUAUUCUCUGGUAGACUGAGAAAAGGGAUAAGAGGGAAAGACCAUUCUUUGUAUACUGUUUUAAUUUUUAGCCAAUGCAUUUGGUUACUUUUUCAAUAAAAAAGUAAUUUAAACCAGUUUCAACUAAAGAGAUGUCAUUAUUCAUAGAAUAGUUUUGCCUCUCCUGAAUAAUUCCAAGUCAAAAUGACUAGGUACAAAAUAAACCACAAUAAUCUGCCCUGUAGGGUUAAGACAGCCAGGAUGCUGAGUCUACUUGCUCAACUGGACUCGUUAUAUUCCUCCAUCUUUACAACCUUGGAUAUGACAGAUACGCUGUUUAAUACAUAAUUUGACCAAGCUAUUUAACAAGUUCUUUUUUUUUUAAUAAAUUUUUUUUAAAACUUUCA